rnacentral:rRNA from 1 species
UGUAUAAAGUGGCGAACGGCUGAGUAACACGUGGGCAACCUGCCCUUUGCACUGGGAUAGCCUCGGGAAACCGAGGUUAAUACCGGAUACUCCAUAUUUGUCGCAUGGCGAAUAUGGGAAAGCUCCGGCGGCAAAGGAUGGGCCCGCGGCCUGUUAGCUAGUUGGUGGGGUAGUGGCCUACCAAGGCAAUGAUGGGUAGCCGGGUUGGGAGACCGACCGGCCAGAUUGGGACUGAGACACGGCCCAGACUCCUACGGGAGGCAGCAGAA